GCCAGAUGCAGUGGCAGGUACCUAUAGUCCCAGCUACUCGGGAGGCUGAGGUAGGAAGAUCGCUUGAGCCCAGGAGCUCUGGGCUGUAGUGUGCUAUGCCAAUUGGGUGUCCACACUAAGUUCAGCAUCAAUAUAGUGACCUCCUGGGAGCGGGGGACCACCAGGUUGCCUAAGGAGGGGUGAACCGGCCCAGGUCGGAAAUGGAGCAGGUCAAAACUCCCAUGCUGAUCAGUAGUGGGACUGCGCCUGUAAACAGCCACUGCACUCCAGCCUGGGCAACAUAGCAAGACCCCGUGUUAA
rnacentral:SRP_RNA from 1 species